GAUGAACGCUGGCGGCGUGCCUAAUACAUGCAAGUCGAGCGAACGGACGAGAAGCUUGCUUUUCUGGUGUUAGCGGCGGACGGGUGAGUAACACGUGGAUAACCUACCUAUAAGACUGGGAUAACUUCGGGAAACCGGAGCUAAUACCGGAUAAUAUUUUGAACCGCAUGGUUCAAAAGUGAAAGACGGUCUUGCUGUCACUUAUAGAUGGAUCCGCGCUGCAUUAGCUAGUUGGUAAGGUAACGGCUUACCAAGGCAACGAUGCAUAGCCGACCUGAGAGGGUGAUCGGCCACACUGGAACUGAGACACGGUCCAGACUCCUACGGGAGGCAGCAGUAGGGAAUCUUCCGCAAUGGGCGAAAGCCUGACGGAGCAACGCCGCGUGAGUGAUGAAGGUCUUCGGAUCGUAAAACUCUGUUAUUAGGGAAGAACAUAUGUGUAAGUAACUGUGCACAUCUUGACGGUACCUAAUCAGAAAGCCACGGCUAACUACGUG
rnacentral:rRNA from 1 species